AUUGAACGCUGGCGGCAGGCCUAACACAUGCAAGUCGAACGAGUGGCGGACGGGUGAGUCAUGUGUGGGAACCUGCCUGAUGGAGGGGGAUAACUACUGGAAACGGUAGCUAAUACCGCAUACCAUCGGAUGUGCCCCGAUGGGAUUAGCUUGUUGGUGGGGUGACGGGUCACCAAGGCGACGAUCCCUAGCUGGUCUGAGAGGAUGACCGGCCACACGGGAACUGAGACACGGUCCAGACGCCUACGGGAGGCAGCAGUGGGGAAGAGUGCACAAUGGGCGCAAGCCUGAUGGAGCCAUGCCGCGUGGAGGAAGAAGGCCUUCGGGUUGUAAAGUACUUUCAUCGGGGAGGCGUUAGCCGCAGAAGAAGCACCGGCUAACUCCGUGCCAGCAGCCGCGGUAAUAC
rnacentral:rRNA from 1 species